UGGCUGGACAUCUCCAUCUGUCAUCUCUGUUAUGGUUGGGACCUCAGAAGGGAGCGAAACAAAACCAAAAGUCAUUCCAAAUUGCUUAGGGUUAAUUGAAGGAAGCCACAGGAAGAGCAGCUAUGAACUCUGUCCUCAGGGCAUCCACAGAGUGUGGGGACCUGGAGAAGGAGCAGUGGCAGCCACAGGCCUGAGGGCAGAAGGAAGGGGUACAGGAAGAAUGAAGAAGCCUGAAUCUAUGCUGCAAACUCUGGUUUCCACAAGCCUCGUGAAAGAUGAAGAAAGAAGGCUAAGAAGGCUUCCUCCCAAUGGGAUGAUGGUAAGUCUGAAAUCCCAGUUGAUCUGGUGAGAUAUGAAAAAGGGUGAGAUAAUUGUGCUGAGAAAUCAUCUCAGUUUACAGGCACGCACAUCUUCAACACAAAAUGGAGGCUGAUGAGAGUUCAGUUCAAUGACUGUUUCCAACACUAGAGUGGGGCUAUGAAUUGGCAUCAUCCUAGAGAAAUUUCAAGUGGCUUAAGUGGACUUGAAAACAGUACUGUCCUCUCACUUUUUGUCAUUUAGUUUCUUAGAGUCAGAGAUAAUGUCUAAAAAAGGGCAUUUCUCAUAAUAAUUUGUGACCAGGAGAAUCAAUAAAAAAGGAUUUCCCUUGCCAGGAUUUUCAGAGAGAAAACUAUGCUUACAGUCCACAGAAUGACAAAUAUUCAUUGUGUGAUGCUAAUAAAAGUGUAAGGCAUUUUAAAAUUCAAGGGUAUUUUCUUAUAACCAUCUUCUUCAAAGAACUUUGAUCUCUAGUUACCUUAUAUGAUUGAAAACAAUGACUAAAUGAAAUGCUUGUCUCCUCCAAGAAUGGAAUAUAAAGUAUUUACAUAAAUCGAUAUUGCUGGAAAAAAAUCUGCAGAUUCCUUAUGCUUGGGUUCACAUGAAAUAAGUAACUUUCUUCCCCAAAAAGCCAGCUGUGUGAUUACUAAGAGACCAAGUCACAUGGUUUGGAUCUGUGUCCCCCUCCAAAUCUCAUGCUUAGUUGUAAUCCCCAAUGUUGAAGGUGGGGCCUUGUGGGGAGUGAUUUGGUCAUGGGGAUGGUUUCUCGUGAAUAGCUUAGCACUAUCCCUUCUUGAUAUUGUCCUCAUGAUAGUGAGUGAAUUCGUGUGAGAUCUGGUCAUUUAAAAGUGUGUGGUGGCUGGGCGCCGUGGCUCCCAGCACUUUGGGAGGCUGAGGUGGGUGGAUCACUUGAGGUCAGAAGGUUGAGACCAGCCUGGCCAACAUGGUGAAACCCUGUCUCUACUAAAAAUACAAAAAUUAGCUGGGUAUGGUGGCACAUGCCUGUAAUCCCAGCUACUUGGGAGGCUGAGGCAGGAGAAUUGCUUGAACCUGGGAAGCAGAAGUUGCAGUGAGCUGAUAUUGCACCACUGCACUCCAGCCUGGGUGACAGGCGAGACCCUGUCUCAAAAAAAAAAAAAAUAAAAAAAAAUAAAAAUAACGAACGAACUAACUAAUUAACUAAAUAAAAUAAAAGUGUGUGGCACCUCCCCCUCACACCUCACACUCCCUUGCUCCUGCUCUGGCCAUGUGAUGCACCUGCCCCCUCUUCACCUUCCAUCAUGAUUGUAAGUUUCCUGAGGCCUCCCCAGAAGCUAAGCAGAUGCCAGCAUCAUGCUUCCUGUUCAGCCUGCAGAACCAAGAGUCAAUUAAACUUCUCUUCUUCAUAAAUUACCCAGUCUCAAGUAUUCCUUUAUAACAAUGUGAGAAUGGACUAAUACACAUGGCCUUUUUGGAAAAGCUCUAGAUAUAAAGUCUGAGGCCAGAGGUUUAGAUGUGUGGUACAGAAAAUACACGAGAAAAGAAGUUGGGCCCGAUCCUCUCUCUGUUUCUGAUUUUUAUAAAGAU
rnacentral:lncRNA from 10 species